rnacentral:rRNA from 1 species
UACGUAGGGUGCGAGCGUUGUCCGGAAUUAUUGGGCGUAAAGAGCUCGUAGGCGGUUUGUCACGUCUGCUGUGAAAACUGGAGGCUCAACCUCCAGCCUGCAGUGGGUACGGGCAGACUAGAGUGUGGUAGGGGAGACUGGAAUUCCUGGUGUAGCGGUGAAAUGCGCAGAUAUCAGGAGGAACACCGAUGGCGAAGGCAGGUCUCUGGGCCAUAACUGACGCUGAGAAGCGAAAGCAUGGGGAGCGAACAGG